CAAUCCUCUUCCAGAGCCCAUAUCGACAAGAGGGUUUACGACCUCGAUGUUGGAUCAGGGCAUCCUAAUGGUGCAGCCGCUAUUAAGGGUUCGUUUGUUCAGCGAUUAAAGCCCUACG
rnacentral:rRNA from 1 species